GGAGUAGGGGCCUGAGGGCACACAGUGUGUUGUAGAUAUGUGGUAGUGGUGGAGUAGGGGCCUGAGGGCACACAGUGUGUUGUAGAUGUGUGGUAGUGGUGGAGUAGGGGUCUGAGGGCACACAGUGUGUUGUAGAUAUGUGGUAGUGGUGGAGUAGGGGCCUGAGGGAACACAGUGUGUUGUAGAUAUGUGGUAGUGGUGGAGUAGGGGCCUGAGGGCACACAGUGUGUUGUAGAUAUGUGGUAGUGGUGGAGUAGGGGCCUGAGGACAAACAGUGUGUUGUAGAUGUGUGGUAGUGGUGGAGUAGGGGUCUGAGGGCACACAGUGUGUUGUAGAUAUGUGGUAGUGGUGGAGUAGGGGCCUGAGGAACACAGUGUGUUGUAGAUAUGUGGUAGUGGUGGACUAGGGGCCUGAGGGCACACAGUGUGUUGUAGAUAUGUGGUAGUGGUGGAGUAGGGGCCUGAGGGAACACAGUGUGUUGUAGAUAUGUGGUAGUGGUGGAGUAGGGGCCUGAGGGCACACAGUGUACUGUAGAUAUGUGGUAGUGGUGGAGUAGGGGCCUGAGGGCACACAGUGUGUUGUGAAAUCUGUGAAUGUAUUGUAAUGUUUUAAAAUGGUAUAAACUGCCUUCAUUUUGCUGGACC
ensembl:lncRNA